UGCUGCCGGAUCAUUA
rnacentral:rRNA from 1 species